AGCACAGUGGUUAAGUGCUAUGGCUGUUAACCACAAGGUUGGCAGUUCGAAUCUGCC
rnacentral:tRNA from 1 species